UACGGAGGGAGCUAGCGUUAUUCGGAAUUACUGGGCGUAAAGCGCACGUAGGCGGCUUUGUAAGUCAGAGGUGAAAGCCUGGAGCUCAACUCCAGAACUGCCUUUGAGACUGCAUCGCUUGAAUCCAGGAGAGGUGAGUGGAAUUCCGAGUGUAGAGGUGAAAUUCGUAGAUAUUCGGAAGAACACCAGUGGCGAAGGCGGCUCACUGGACUGGUAUUGACGCUGAGGUGCGAAAGCGUGGGGGAGCAAACAGG
rnacentral:rRNA from 1 species